rnacentral:lncRNA from 1 species
AGCGAUCCCACGUCCGUUACCUCCUCCGUGCGUAAUCCCGGCAGCCCUUGAUCCAGCGAUCCCGUGCUCCUCCUCGCAGUCACCGUGAUCCAGCCUCCUCCGCGUCCAAGCUCCAUGGAUCAUGCUGCAAUCAAGCAUCCGAGUCCACCUCUUCCUUAAUCAAGCAUCCUCCCCCUCUUCCAAGGGGUUGAUCUAUAAAGAGAAGAGACCAUCGGCAUGGAGGGGGAGCUUUUUGGGUUGGAAGGGAGUGCUCGGUUGGGUUUGAGGCCAAGAAACAGAGAGGAGGGUGGUGCUCGGUUUGGCCAAAGAAACAGGGGAGGAGGCGGACGAGGGAGAAAGAGAGAAUGCCUUGCUAAACAGAGCAUUGCAUCUUUUUUUUUAGUUUUCUGUUUGAGUUUAGUUUUUUAUUUAUGAGAGCAAUGUUUUUCUUUAGUUUGAGUUUAUGAGAGCAAUGUUAUUUUUUUUAGUUUUAUUUUAAUUGAAAGUUUUAAUUGAGAAGUUAUGUUUUGAGUUUCAGAGCAUGUUGUUCUUAUUUUUAGUUUUAUUUUAGGUUUUGUUUUGAGUUUUAAUUUUUGAGAGUUUAUU